rnacentral:rRNA from 1 species
CAUAUGCUUGUCUCAAAGAUUAAGCCAUGCAUGUCUGAGUACAGACCGAUCUAAGGUGAAACCGCGAAUGGCUCAUUAAAUCAGUCAUAAUUCCUUGGAUAGUGAAAAACUUUCCUCGGAUAACUGUGGAAAAUCCAGAGCUAAUACGUGCAACUGAGCUCCGACCUUGGCGCGAGUCUUGGGAAGAGCGCAUUUAUUAGAUUCAAAACUGACCGGUGUACUCCUUCGGGAUACGCCGUUUGUCAAAUUGUUUGAUGACUCCGGAUAACUUAGCCGAGCGCUACGGUCAUUAGUACCGGCGCCGUAUCUUUCAAGUGUCUGCCUUAUCAGCUUUCGAUUGUAGGUUAAACGCCUACAAUGGCUGUAACGGGUAACGGGGAAUCAGGGUUCGAUUCCGGAGAGGGAGCCUGAGAAACGGCUACCACAUCUAAGGAAGGCAGCAGGCACGCAAAUUACCCACUCCCAGCCCGGGGAGGUAGUGACGAAAAAUAACGAUGCGAGACUCUUCCGAGGCCUCGCAAUCGGAAUGAGUCCAUUUUAAAUCCUUGGACGAGGAUCCAUUGGAGGGCAAGUCUGGUGCCAGCAGCCGCGGUAAUUCCAGCUCCAAUAGCGUAUAUUAAAGUUGCUGCGGUUAAAAAGCUCGUAGUUGGACUUUCUAGAUCCAUUUCGUGGGUGAGUCGCUCUUUGUACUAGCGUUUCGCGCGGUUCAUUGAUGACGUCGUCGUACGGUUUUCUUCUUCGGCGCUCGCGUCUUUGGAGAGGAUCCCGGCGUUACGUAAUCUUCGGGACGGCGAGACGUUGUCUUAGAGUAUAGCUCGUCCGCGUUUGGUACAAUUAAAAUUUUGUCGGCUCGCUCGGAGUGCUCUUUACCGAGUGUUCCAGGGUGGCUGACACGUUCACUUUGAAAAAAUUAGAGUGCUUAAAGCGGGCUUAUUUACGGCCUGAAUGUCUGUGCAUGGAAUGAAGUAACAGGACCUCGAUUCUGUUGUUUUUGUCGGUUUUAUUGAACCGAGGUAAUGAUUAAAAGGGACAGACGGUGGCAUUAGUAUUGCGGCGCUAGAGGUGAAAUUCUUGGACCGUCGCAAGACUAACUACUGCGAAAGCAUUUGCCGAGAAUGUUUUCAUUAAUCAAGAACGAAAGUUAGAGGAUCGAAGGCGAUCAGAUACCGCCCUAGUUCUAACCCUAAACUAUGCUAACUAGCGAUCCGCCGGAGUCAUUCCCACGACCCGGCGGGAAGCCCCAGGGAAACCAAAGUCUUUGAGUUCCGGGGGAAGUAUGGUUGCAAAGCUGAAACUUAAAGGAAUUGACGGAAGGGCACCACCAGGAGUGGAGCCUGCGGCUUAAUUUGACUCAACACGGGAAACCUCACCAGGCCCGGACAUCAUAAGGAUUGACAGGUUGAGAGCUCUUUCUCGAUUUGAUGGGUGGUGGUGCAUGGCCGUUCUUAGUUGGUGGAGUGAUCUGUCUGGUUGAUUCCGAUAACGAACGAGACUCUACCCUACUAACUAGUCGGCGGAUCGUAACCCUGAGAUGGUUAGUUUGUAUAGGAGAGUUUAGUCUAGAUAGAAUCCUAGAUCGACGGGGGAUCGUGUUUUUGCGAAAGUUUGUUUCCGAUCGAAAGUGAGGUGUGCAUUCUAACGUUUGGCGCGUUUUUCAAUAGUUCGAGGUUAUAUCGAAGCUUUUCUCUGAUUACUGCUACUGCUGGGGGCGUCCGUCGCAAUGUAUCUUCUUAGAGGGAUCAGCGGCGUAUAGCCGCACGAGAAAGAGCAAUAACAGGUCUGUGAUGCCCUUAGAUGUUCUGGGCCGCACGCGCGCUACAAUGUAGGGCUCAGCGUGCUUUCCCUCUCCGAAAGGAGCGGGUAACCCGUUGAAACCCCUACCCGAUUGGGAUUGGGGAUUGCAAUUAUUUCCCAUAAACGAGGAAUUCCCAGUAAGCGCGAAUCAUUAAUUCGCGCUGAUUACGUCCCUGCCCUUUGUACACACCGCCCGUCGCUACUACCGAUUGAAUGAUUCAGUGAGGGCAUCGGACUGGCCCUUCGGUUUAGUAACCUAGACCUUAGGCUGACGGAAAGAUGUCCGAACUUGAUCAUUUAGAGGAAGUAAAAGUCGUAACAAGGUUUC